rnacentral:lncRNA from 1 species
GCAGUUAGCCCCCGAUCGACCGGCUCUGUCAUAUUUUGCACCGUUGUUAGCUUUCUGUCUCGCGACAUGGGAGGCGACAUGGCGGCGGCGCUGCUACUCCGGUGAUGACCGGAGGCGAUGGAGCAGCUGCGGCCACGACUGGCAUGGAGAACGCGAGGAACGAGCCCGCUCGCAAGGGGCCAAAGCUCCCGCGACCAAACGAUCCUCCUGCCCGCUACG